rnacentral:RNase_P_RNA from 1 species
GGAGUCGGCCGGGCAGUCGCUCCGCGCCUCGCUGGCGCGGGGAGGAAAGUCCGGGCUCCAUAGGGCAAAGUGCCAGGUAGCACCUGGGGGGCGUGAGUCCACGGAAAGUGCCACAGAAAACAUACCGCCCAAGCGAUUCGUCGCCGGCAAGGGUGAAAAGGUGCGGUAAGAGCGCACCGCGUCGGUGGUAACACCGGCGGCACGGUAAACCCCACUUGGAGCAAGACCAAAUAGGGGAACGCAGCGGCUUCGGCCGCCCUGUGUGGCCCGCACAGUGUUCCCGGGUAGGUCGCUUGAGGCGCACGGUGACGUGCGUCCCAGAUGAAUGGCUGUCCUCGACAGAACCCGGCUUACAGGCCGGCUCCCACC